rnacentral:rRNA from 1 species
CAAUAGCGUAUAUUAAAGUUGUUGCGGUUAAAAAGCUCGUAGUUGGAUUUCUGCCGAGGACGACCGGUCCGCCCUCCGGGUGAGUAUCUGGCUCGGCCUGGGCAUCUUCUUGGAGAACGUAACUGCACUUGGCUGUGUGGUGCGGUAUUCAGGACUUUUACUUUGAGGAAAUUAGAGUGUUUCAAGCAGGCACACGCCUUGAAUACAUUAGCAUGGAAUAAUAAGAUAGGACCUCGGUUCUAUUUUGUUGGUUUCUAGAUCUGAGGUAAUGAUUAAUAGGGAUAGUUGGGGGCAUUCGUAUUUAACUGUCAGAGGUGAAAUUCUUGGAUUUGUUAAAGACGGACUACUGCGAAANCANNNGCCAAGGAUGUUUNCAUNGA